UAAGCGUAUGCUAGAGGUGUA
rnacentral:siRNA from 1 species